AUUCUUUUACAAUUAAAUUUCAAAAAUGACAUUUUACCGAUCGCGCCUCUCCUAAAAUCGCCUAGCUCUGCUUUAUAUAUAACGUCCCAUUUUUUCUAAAUUUUUCAUAUAGCUGGGUCUGAUUUUACAAAAUAAAGAGUAAUGAGCUUGAACUACAUAAUCCACAAAGAAUAACAAAGAAGAGUGAAAAAGGUCGCAAAACAUAAAGAAUAGAUAAAAAGUGGGCCCAUACAAUGACAAAUAGAGAAUUAUGGUGUGCUAAUUAUAAAGAAUAGAUAAAAAUAUAGAAAAUAAAUGUAAAGAAUAGACA
rnacentral:lncRNA from 1 species